rnacentral:lncRNA from 1 species
UUUGCUAUAAAUUUUAUUCAAAUUUUAUUAAAAAGACCCCCAGAAAAUACAAGUAGAUGAUACAAAAAAAAUGAAUCGUAGUUCAUUUCUUCAUUAGUUCAUCUACUUUGAACUCUAUCUCGGCGAGAAUCUUUUUGUUGCUCAAUAUGGUAGCCUCCAGGUCAAAAGUCCUUUGCAUUAGGUUGUCGAUGAGGACUUGCAUCUCCUGCUGGAAUAUGUGCAACUAGUCCCUCACACUCAAGAAUAUGUGCAACUGGACCCUCACACUCAAAGGCACCUCCUCCUCUUCGGAGGCUGCUUCUUACCCCUUCUCGACUCUUGGAUCUUUAGAGGUCAUUUUUCAAUUAUCUGAGAUUGAUUAAGA